rfam:Omnitrophica WOR_2 bacterium RIFOXYA2_FTLL_38_17 rifoxya2_full_scaffold_727, whole genome shotgun sequence.
AUUUUGGAGAGUUUGAUCCUGGCUCAGAGUGAACGCUGGCGGCGUGGAUUAGGCAUGCAAGUCGAGCGAUCCUUGCUUGAUACUUACUGGAGUGCUUGCACAAAGGUAAGAGGAUGGCGCUGGAUAGCGGCAAACGGGUGAGUAAUGCGCGAGCAAUUUUCUCUAAAUACGAACAUAGCUUCGUGAAAACGGAGGUAAUAUUCGAUGUGGUCCGAAAAUCGCAUGUUUUUCGGAUUAAAGGUAGGGACCUUCGGGCCUGCCGAUUUAGAAUGAGCUCGCGUCCUAUCAGCUUGUUGGUGGGGUAAAGGCCUACCAAGGCAUAUGACGGGUAGCUGGUCUGAGAGGAUGGUCAGCCACACUGGGACUGAGACACUGCCCAGACUCCUACGGGAGGCUGCAGUCGAGAAUCUUCCUCAAUGGACGAAAGUCUGAAGGAGCGACGCCGCGUGCAGGAUUAAGGCCUUCGGGUUGUAAACUGCUUUUGUAUGGAAAGAAGUUCUGCUAUCUAACAUAUAGUAGAAUUGACGGUACCAUGCGAAUAAGCCACGGCCAACUCCGUGCCAGCAGCCGCGGUAAUACGGAGGUGGCAAGCGUUACUCGGAAUUAUUGGGUGUAAAGGGCAAGUAGGCGGUCUGUUAAGUGAGGGGUGAAAUCUUCCGACUCAAUCGGAAAACUGCCUUUCAAACUAAUAGACUUGAGAUUGGAAGAGGGAAACGGAAUUAGCAGUGUAAGGGUGAAAUCUGUAGAUAUUGCUAAGAACACCAGCGGCGAAGGCGGUUUCCUGGUCCAAAUCUGACGCUAAAUUGCGAAAGCUAGGGUAGCAAACAGAAUUAGAUACUCUGGUAGUCCUAGCUGUAAACGAUGAGCACUAGGUGUUGGGUCUAACGACUCGGUGCCGCAGCUAACGCAUUAAGUGCUCCACCUGGGGACUACGGCCGCAAGGCUAAAACUCAAAGGAAUUGACGGGGACCCGCACAAGCGGUGGAACAUGUGGUUUAAUUCGAUGCUACGCGAAAAACCUCACCAGGGCUUGACAUGUAUGAAGUAGUGAACUGAAAGGGGAACGACCCGUAAAAUCGGGAACUUACACAGGUGCUGCAUGGCUGUCGUCAGCUCGUGUCGUGAGAUGUUGGGUUAAGUCCCGCAACGAGCGCAACCAUUGCCCUAUGUUGCCACCCUCAAAAUCUGCUUGCAGAGAAUGAGGCGCACUCUUAGGGGACUGCCCGGGAUAACCGGGAGGAAGGUGGAGAUGACGUCAAGUCAGUACGGCCUUUAUGCCCUGGGCUACACACGUGUUACAAUGGCUGGUACAAAGGGUUGCCAACCCGCGAGGGGGAGCUAAUCUCAAAAAGCCAGUCUCAGUUCGGAUUGGAGUCUGCAAUUCGACUCCAUGAAGCCGGAAUCGCUAGUAAUGGGAGAUCAGCACGCUCCCGUGAAUACGUUCCCGGGUCUUGUACACACCGCCCGUCAAGCGAUGAAAGCUGGAAGUACCCGAAGUCCUAUGUAGAUAGGCCGAAGGUAAAGCCAGUGAUUGGCGCUAAGUCGUAACAAGGUAGCCGUACGGGAACGUGCGGCUGGAUCACCUCCUUU